AUUGAACGCUGGCGGCAGGCCUAACACAUGCAAGUCGAGCGGAGCGGCGGACGGGUGAGUAAUGCCUAGGAAUCUGCCUGGUAGUGGGGGGUAACGUCCGGAAACGGGCGCUAAUACCGCAUACUAUCAGAUGAGCCUAGGUAGGCUUAGCUAGUUGGUGGGGUAAAGGCCUACAAAGGCGACGAUCCGUACCUGGUCUGAGAGGAUGAUCAGUCACACUGGAACUGAGACACGGUCCAGACUCCUACGGGAGGAAGCAGGGGGGAAUAUUGGACAAUGGGCGCAAGCCUGAUGCAGCCAUGCCGCGUGUGUGAAGAAGGUCUUCGGGUUGUAAAGCACGUUCAGUAGGGAGGCGUUACCCACAGAAGAAGCACCGGCUAACUCCGUGCCAGCAGCCGCGGUAAUAC
rnacentral:rRNA from 1 species